AAUGUCCCCAUUCCUUGUUUUGUUUUAUUUUGUAGGUUUUGCUGUGCAUCGGCUUUUUACAACUUUGGGUUCUUGCAAAGUUGGAUUCUCGAUGUUGGUUUGUUUUUUAUUUUUAAAAUCAUUCCUAAAUAUUGUAUCGUUAUGGUUAGCUGUCUUGGUUGUCAUUAAUUUAAAAGUUUCCAUUGCUUCGUAGUUCACGCUUGGUGCUUGGAUUGUGUGUAUUUCAGGUUGCCGUUGCGCAAUUUUUUAUGAAUAUCGGCGGUGCUCAGCAUGUUUGUUCUGGUUUUUGUUUCUUCCAGCAUCUAAUUGCAUUCUUCACUGAUACUUAAGAACUUAAAAUUUUCAGUUCGUUCAUUUAGUUGCGACUUCUUAUGCACAGAUUGAAACUUUCUUCAGCAUUGUCAUUUAUUAUCAUUUGGAAUGUGUAACUGCUGUAUCGUAUUGUUGAUUGUGGCUGGCUGAUUCUUGGUUUCACUACUCUUGUAAUUCUGAAGAAGGUGUGAAGAAUUUCGUGAAACUAUAUCUACAAAGAGGGCGGAGAUAUUGAUUGGGGCUUUCUUUUUCCUGGUCGACAGAGUUUGAUGUGGCUAUAAGUGCUGUUUUCCUCUCGAUUUCGAAGUGAUUCUUUUUGCUUGUUCUAAUGUUCUUUGUUCUUGCUUUAAUGUUGCGGUUGCUACUACUUUUGUUUGGCAGUACUUCAUGCCGUCGCGGUUUUAUUGGUAUUUAAGUUCACUCCUCAGGGCGAAUAACCAUUUUGCGGCCUUUGGACUUGUGCGCAAAACCAUCUUUUGAUGGUAAAAUCACGGGUUUUUGCUUUACCAUCUUGUGAUUGACAUUUAGGCGUUUUGAUAUUUGGAUUGAUUUAAGUUACAUUUCUGGAUUUGCGUCACCAAUUGAUAAUUUCAGAUUAAUGCUUUUUGAAUUUCACGAAGUAAGUCGGUGGGUAUGUGAACAAGGUCUGUUGUCUGAAGUUUUUCCAGUUCUGUGAGGAUAUUUGAGCACGGAGUAACAUAUGCUUCUGCCGGUGAUAUUUGGUUUCUGGUUUUGUGAUGUGUAGUUUCCAAUUCCUUGAAGUUUUAUGGUAUACGGACGAGGAAGGUGUUUGAAAAUAUCAGUUGCUACUACUUUUGUUUGGCAGUACGGCAUGUUGGAUUUGCGUCACCAAUUGGUAAUUUCAGAUUAAUGCACAUUUAAUUACACCAAGUAAGUCGGUGUGUAUGUGAACCAGGUCUGUAGUCUGAAGUUUUUCUAGUUCUGUGAGGAUAUUUGAGAAAUGAGUAACAUAUGCUUCUGCCGGUGAUAUUUGUUUUCUGGCGUUUUGAUAUGUGGAUUGAUGUAAGUUACAUUGCUGGAUUUGCGUCACCAAUUGGUAAUUUCAGAUUAAUGCACAUUGAAUUACACCAAGUAAGUCGGUGGGUAUGUGAACCAGGUCUGUAGUCUGAAGUUUUUCCAGUUCUGUAAGGAUAUUUGAGAAAUGAGUAACAUAUGCUUCUGCCGGUGAUAUUUGUUUUCUGGUUUUGUGAUGUGUAGUUUCCAAUUCCUGGAAGUUUUUUUGUAUACGGACGAGGAGGUGUUUGAAAAUGUCGUCGAUGUUGGGCAUGUCAACUAGGUCUGCAAUUUGAAGUUUUUCCAGUUUUGGGCAGAUAUUUAAGCACUGAGUAACAUAUGCUUCUGCCAUUGAUAUUUGUUUCCGGGUUUUGUGAUUUGUAGUUUCCUAUUUCAUGAAGUGUUGGGAUACUGAUGAGGAAGGUGUUUGAAAAUAUGUGGUUGACCUGUUCAUAGGUGGAGGUUGUGCUUUGGGCUUUCUCGUGUUUGAACAGGAGUUUUUGAACUUGGUCUGUCUGUGGAAAUAAGUGAAAUUGAUUUUUCUUCUCCCCCUUUUUAUUUCACGUGUUUAUAAGUCUACUAUAUGCUGUUCUCUCAGACAUGUCCCCAUUCCUUGUUUGGAUUUAUUUUAUAGGUUUUGCUGUGCAUUGGCUUUUUACAACUUUGGAUUCUUGCAAAGUUGGGUUCUCGAUGUUGGUUUGUUUUUUUUUUUAAAAUCAUUCCUAAAUGUUGUAUCUUUAUGGUUAGCUGGCUUGGUUAUCAUUAAUUUAAAAGUUUCUGUUGCUUCUUGUUUCACGCUUGGUGCUUGGAUUGUGUGUUUUUCAGGUUGCGGUUGCGCAAUUUUUUUAUGAAUAUCGGCAGUGCUCAGCAUGUUUGUUCUGGUUUUUGUUUCUACCAGUAUCUAAUUGCAAUCUUCACUGAUACUUAAGAACUUAAAAUUUUCAGUUCGUUCAUUUAGUUGCGACUUAUUAUGCACAGAUUGAAACUUUCUUCAGCAUUGUCGUUUAUUAUCGUUUGGAAUAUGUAACUUCUGUAUCAUAUUGUUGAUUGUGGCUGGCUGAUUCUUGGUUUCCCUACUCGUCAUUGUGAAAAAGGUGUGAACUACAAAGAGGGCAGAGAUAUUGAUUGGGGCUUUCUUUUUCCUGGUCGACAGAGUUUGAUGUGGCUAUAAGUUCUCUUUUCCUUUCGAUUUCGAAGUGAUUCUUUUUGCCUGUUUUAAUUUUCUUUGUUCUUGUUUUAAUGUUGCGGCUGCUACUACUUUUGUUUGGCAGUAUGUCAUGUCGUCGCGGUUUUAUUGGUAUUUAAGUUCACUCCUGGGGGCGAAUAACCAUUUUGCGGCCUUUGGACUUCAGUUUCUGCGCAGAACCAUCUUUUGAAAGUAAAAACGCGGAUUUUUGCUUUGCCAUUUUGUGAUUGACAUUUAGGCGUUUUGAUAUUUUGAUUGAUUUAAGUUACAUUGCUGGAUUUGCGUCACCAAUUGGUAAUUUCAGAUUAAUGCACAUUGAAUUACACCAAGUUAGUGGGUAUGUGAACUAGGUCUGUAGUCUGAAGUUUUUCCAGUUCUGUGAGGAUAUUUGAGCACCGAGUAACAUAUGCUUCUGUCGGUGAUAUUUGUUUCCUGAUUUUGUGACUUGUAGUUUCCUAUUUCAUGAAGCUUUUGGGAUACCGAUCAGGAAGGUAUUUGAAAAUAUGUCGUUGACCUGUUCACUGGUGGAGGUUGUGAUUUGGGCUUUCUUGUGUUUGAUCAAGAGUUUUUGAAUUUUGUCUUUCUGCUGAAAUAAGAGAAAUGUGUUUUCUUUUCCCCCUCUUUAUUUCACAUGUUGUUUUGGAAGUCUUGUAUAUGCUAUUCUCUCGGGCAUGUACCUAUUACUUGUUUUGAUUUAUUUAUAGGUUUUGCUGUACCUAUUACUUGUUUUGAUUUAUUUUAUAAGUUUUGCUUUGCAUCGGCUUUUCACAACUCUGGGUUCUUGUAAAGUUGGCUUCUCAGCAUUGGUUUUAUUUUAUUUUAUUUUUAAAAAAAAAUCAUCCUCAAUGUUUCAUCUUCAUGGUUAGCUGGCUUCUUACUUGACACUUGGUGGUUGGAUUGUGUGUAUUUCAGGUUGCGUUUGCGCAUUUUUUUAUGAAUAUCAGCGGUGCUCAGCAUGUUUGUUCUGGUUCUUGUUUCUUCCAGCAUUUAAUUGUACUUUUAAUAGAUACUUAAGAACUUAAAAUUUUCUGUUCGAUCAUUUAGUUGCUGCUUCUUAUUCACAGAUUGGAACUUUGAUCAACACUGCCGUUUAUUAUCAUUUGGAAUGUGUAACUUCUGUAUCACAUUGUUGAUUUGUCUUUCUGAUUCUUGGUUUCAUUAUUCUUGUAAUUCUGACAAAGGUGUGUGGAGAAUUUGGUGCUAAUAUAUCUACUAAGAGGGUGUACAUAUUUAUUGGGCCUUUCUUUUUCUUGGUCAACAGAGUUUGAUGUGGCUAGAAGUUCUCUAUUCCUGUCGAUUUUGAAGGGAUUCUUUCUGCUGCUUCUAUUUUUUCUUUGUUCUUGUUUUACUGUUGCGGCCUGCGACUACUUUUCUUAGGCCUUAUGUCCUGUCGUGUUUUUAUUGGUAUUGUAGUUCACUCCUGGGGGCGUAUAACCAUUUUGCGGCCUUUGGACUUCAAUUUCUGUGGAAAACCAUCUUUGGAGAGUAAAAAUACAGGUUUUUGCUUUAUCAUCUUGUGAUUGAGAUUUGUGGUGUGUGCCUGCAAUUUAUGAGGUACAUGAACUAGAAAGGCGAAGUUUGAUUCGGACCUGUAGGGAGAUUCGGACCUGUAGGGAUAAGCUGUCAUCUCCUCUGCUUGUAUAAUUUCUUUUCUUAAUGCUUUAUCUUUGAUCCACGUUUCUUAUAGCUUGGUAAUGGCUUGCAAGGAAGAUUCCCUUUACAAAUUAUUUGGUUCUUUUAAUACGUUGGUGAACAUUUCAGGGAAUGCUGUCUUCUUAAAAAGUUAGGGUUUCUUUCAAGAUAACGAUGUUCGCUUUCAAGGAAGAUCUUUGUGCUGGGUUUCCAUGCAUUGCUAGUGGAAGAUUUCUUUAUCUUUAUUGCGAAUUUUUAGUUUCUUCCAUUACUUUGUUGAUCAUUGUUAGGGCUCCUUUUCCAAUGUUUGUGAAUGCUUUAGAAAAGGUUUGUCUUCUUUGCAAAUUUGGGUUUCUUUCAGGACAGUGUUGGCUUUCAGGGAAGAUCUUUGUGUUAGGUUUCGAUGCAUUGUUAGUGGGAUUUAAUUACAGUUUUUUAGCUUCUUCCAAUACUUUGUUGACCGUCUGCUGGGAAGAUUUUCUUGGUUACAUAUUUGGGCCGCUUCUAAUAUGAUGGUGACUGCUUUAGGGAAGGUUUUCUUCUUCAUUUUAGGGUUUCUUUGAAGAUGCUGGUGAUCGAUUUCAGGGAGGUUCUUCUUUGUGUUAGGUGAUGCAUUGGUACUUGAUUCCCAUCAUUUUUGGUUUUGCUGCCAAAAAACUUCUGUUGAUUGCUUGCAGGGUAGAUUUUCUUCGUCACAUACUAGGGUUCUUUGAUACGUAAGUGAUUGCUUUCAGAGGUUGUUUUCUUCGUAAGGUCAAGACUUCUGUGAUCGCUUUCAGGGAUGAUCUUUGUGUUAGGUUUUGGGAAAAGAUUUUACUCGUCAUAGAUUGGGGGUUCAUGAGGUUUUCUUCGUCACCAUUCAGUGUUUCUUUUAGUACGUUUGAUGACCGCUUUCAAGGAAGAUCUUUGUUUUAGGUUUCAUUGCUGUUAGAGAAUUCCCAUUAUGCUUGUCACAAAUUCAGUUUUUGCCCAAUAUGUUAUUCUUUUGCAGCUAAGAUUGCUACAAGUUUUGUUGAUUGUUCUCGGGGAGAAUCUCCUUCGUUAAAGAUUAAGACUUCUUUCAAUAUGGUGGGGAUCACUUUUGCUUGAUACUCUGUGUCAAAGUAGAAUUUAUUUGAGACGGUAAAUGAUGGACUUUUGCUUCUUGCUUAUGCCUCCGAAUGCUAUGGAGGGGAGUUAAUAUGUUUGAAGAAUUUGGUGCUAAUUUGUCCACAAGGAGAGGAUGAUUGGGGCUUUCUUGUACCUGUUCGAUAGAGGUUGAUGCGGUGAUAAGCUCUCUUUUCCCCUCGUUUUUGUAAGGAAUUAUUUCUGCUUCUUUUAAUACUGUGGCCUGUGACAGUUUUUCUUAGGCAUUAUUUUCCAAGGGGAAUGCUUCAGGGAAGGUUGUCUUCACAAAUUAGGGUUUCUUUCAAGAUGUUGGUGUAUGCUUUCAGGGAAGGGUUUCGAAGCAUUGCUAGUGGAAGAUUUCUAUAUUCUUUA